AUUGAACGCUGGCGGCAGGCCUAACACAUGCAAGUCGAGCGGCAGCGGGAAAGUAGCUUGCUACUUUUGCCGGCGAGCGGCGGACGGGUGAGUAAUGCCUGGGAAAUUGCCCAGUCGAGGGGGAUAACAGUUGGAAACGACUGCUAAUACCGCAUACGCCCUACGGGGGAAAGCAGGGGACCUUCGGGCCUUGCGCGAUUGGAUAUGCCCAGGUGGGAUUAGCUAGUUGGUGAGGUAAUGGCUCACCAAGGCGACGAUCCCUAGCUGGUCUGAGAGGAGGAUCAGCCACACUGGAACUGAGAAACGGUCCAGACUCCUACGGGAGGCAGCAGGGGGGAAUAUUGCACAAUGGGGGAAACCCUGAUGCAGCCAUGCCGCGUGUGUGAAGAAGGCCUUCGGGUUGUAAAGCACUUUCAGCGAGGAGGAAAGGUUGAUGCCUAAUACGUAUCAACUGUGACGUUACUCGCAGAAGAAGCACCGGCUAACUCCGUGCCAGCCGCCGCAGUAACAC
rnacentral:rRNA from 1 species